rnacentral:rRNA from 1 species
GAUGAACGCUGGCGGCAUGCCUAACACAUGCAAGUCGAUCGGUAAGGCUCUUCGGAGUACCCGAGAGGCGGACGGCUGAGUAACGCGUAGGAACACACCCUGCAGUGAGGGAUAAGACACCGAAAGGUGUUCUAAUACCGCAUACGGUCUUCGGAUUAAAGCAUUUAUGCGCUGAAGGAGUGGCCUGCGUCAUAUUAGAUAGUUGGUGAGGUAAUGGCUCACCAAGUCGAUGAUGUGUAGCUGGUCUGAGAGGAUGAUCAGCCAGACUGGAACUGAGACACGGUCCAGACUCCUACGGGAGGCAGCAGUGAGGAAUAUUUCACAAUGAGCGAAGGCUUGAUGGAGCAAUGCCGCGUGCAGGAUGAAGGCCCUCGGGUUGUAAACUGCUUUUAUAAGAGAAGAUUAUGACGGUAACUUAUGAAUAAGGGACGGCUAACUACGUG